GGUGAACGCUGGCGGUAUGCUUAACACAUGCAAGUCGAACGGUACCUUCGGGUAUAGUGGCGGACGGGUGAGUAACGCGUGAGAAUCUAUCUUCAGGUCGGGGACAACAGUUAGAAAUGACUGCUAAUACCGGAUGUGCCGAAAGGUAAAAGAUUUAUUGCCUGAAAAAGAGCUCGCGUCAGAUUAGCUAGUAGGUGGCGUAAGAGACUACCUAGGCUUCGAUCUGUAGCUGGUCUGAGAGGACGAUCAGCCACACUGGAACUGAGACACGGUCCAGACUCCUACGGGAGGCAGCAGUGGGGAAUUUUCCGCAAUGGGCGAAAGCCUGACGGAGCAAUACCGCGUGAGGGACGAAGGCUCUUGGGUCGUAAACCUCUUUUCUCAAGGAAGAUUCAGACGGUACUUGAGGAAUAAGCAUCGGCUAACUCUGUG
rnacentral:rRNA from 1 species